rnacentral:lncRNA from 1 species
UCUCUCUCUCGUUUUGAGGGGUUAUAUUGAUGCACCUCACUCAAUGGCUAUUUAGCUGGAGUCUUUAAAAUCUAAUAGUCGCACUAGAAUUAUCACAAAGUAAGGCAUCUUACCUUUCAAAGUAUAAACACCGAGAUAAUUGCACAUAAAAAAAAUUGGUUUCUUGCAAUCAUCCGUCCGAACUUUGACGAUGCAUCACUGAACUUGUGUUGAACGUGGAUGAGCAAAACCAUGCCAGAAAAUAAAACGGAAGAUGCGCAUUCAACGAAAGGAUGUUCAGGACGUUUGAAUGUUGCAGAGUAGAAAAAUGGGUUGCGUUCAACAAACCGAAGAAUUGUAUGUUCUUCAUUCAAAUUCUUUACCUAUUCCUCAUUUAAACUAAGUAGAUAUGCCAGCAUAAAAGGCUGCGGUCAAUUUGGCUUUAUCCCAGGGAGAAGCCACACACUCUGCUGCAGCGCAAGGCUGUGCAUGCUAAAUGAGGAAAUGAUUCAGAUGUUUUUACUAUAAUGUCCUAGUUUUCAGGUACCUCCUCCUACCCCCGCUAGCAUGAAUUCUGGGGGGGGUCCUUGCAAGGGCGUCCUGGAGCUGCCACGCCCAAAUCCAGCAGCAGCCGGGCCUGGAACUAAGUGACCACCACGAUCAAGCUGCUCUACAAACCGACCAUUCUUGGGCACGAGAUGAAAAAUGGAACGUGUUACAAGAAGGCGGAUUAAUCUGUGAGCUCCGUUUACACGAGGGGCCGGGGCCGAUAGAUAUAGAUAAUGCGUGCUUGGGCAGACACGGGCUCACCAGGUGGUACGUACAUCAGGGAACGGGUUCCUAGCCUUUCUUUUUUCCACAGGACCGAAGCAAUAGUUUCACCACAGCCUUCUUUCAUACGUUGCUCUGCUUGUACAGCUUUGUGUCCAGCACCUGCUUCCCGCACAUGGCACAGACUCCUGCACACAGACGGGGGCGUCAGAGGCCGAACGUCCAUGGUUUUUUUUCCAAAACAAGGCAGCUCCGAUCCCCAGAGGCUAAUGACAUCUCUAAUGAGGGAGCUAUAAUGGUCACAUAUUCUCUAAUGGUAAGCGCCACCUAUUCUUUUCCUCACUUUCAGAGCCAAUUCUGCAUAAAGAUUUAUCAAGAAGAAGGCUCAUCAAGUGGAGAAACUAGGAGCAUAUCGGUCCCCAAUUCCAGCGACGACUACUCUGGAGGGUAAAUAAUACGGAUGACCCUCGCGGGCAGUAAUUAUUGCCACAAGGAUCUCUCUCUCUCUCUCUCUC